rnacentral:lncRNA from 10 species
CCCUUGCCAUAUGGUCCAGCAAUCAUCCUCCUUAUGUAUCCAAAGAAAAUCACUGCAGAGGCCUUUUCAGUUGUUAUGGCACAGUUGCUUGGAAUUAAUCUGGGAUUGACAUAUGAUGAUAUCUACAAUUGUUACUGUCCAGGAACUACAUGCAUAAUGAAUCCUGAUGCGAUAUGAUCCCAUGGUAUGAAGUUUUUUAGCAGUUGCAGCAUGGAUGGAUUUAAACGGAUAGUUCUGCAGCCUGAACUUAAAUGUUUUCAGGAUAAAACAGUUUCAAAAAUGACUUACCGAAAAUCUUCAACUUGUGGCAAUGGAAUUUUGGAACCUACAGAGCAGUGUGAUUGUGGCU